rnacentral:rRNA from 1 species
GGAGCAUGUGGUUUAAUUCGAUGCAACGCGAAGAACCUUACCUACUCUUGACAUCCAGAGAACUUUCCAGAGAUGGAUUGGUGCCUUCGGGAACUCUGAGACAGGUGCUGCAUGGCUGUCGUCAGCUCGUGUUGUGAAAUGUUGGGUUAAGUCCCGCAACGAGCGCAACCCUUAUCCUUGUUUGCCAGCGAGUAAUGUCGGGAACUCCAGGGAGACUGCCGGUGAUAAACCGGAGGAAGGUGGGGACGACGUCAAGUCAUCAUGGCCCUUACGAGUAGGGCUACACACGUGCUACAAUGGCGCAUACAGAGGGCGGCCAACUUGCGAAAGUGAGCGAAUCCCAAAAAGUGCGUCGUAGUCCGGAUUGGAGUCUGCAACUCGACUCCAUGAAGUCGGAAUCGCUAGUAAUCGUGGAUCAGAAUGCCACGGUGAAUACGUUCCCGGGCCUUGUACACACCGCCCGUCACACCAUGGGAGUGGGCUGCAAAAGAAGUAGGUAGUUUAACCUUCGGGGGGACGCUUACCACUUUGUGGUUCAUGACUGGGGUGAAGUCGUAACAAGGUAGCGCUAGGGGAACCUGGCGCUGGAUCACCUCCUUA